GUAUAUCCACAAGGUGGCAGUAAUGCAAAAACAGUUGUAAUGAAACCGCGAAGAACAACAAGGUUUCACGGCUUGGGCCUGCUCAUGCGCAAGACUUCAAAUUUAACUUAAAAACGUUGUUUUGGCGCCAAGCUGCUGUUUCUUUGAGAGAUCCUGCCUUUACCUGCUCCCUCCUAUACUGAUGUGGUGUAUGUGGUACUGCUGAGCUUGUAUGUGAUCUGAACCAUUGUAAAGGUUGCAGUUCAAGGGCCUGAGGUGGAAGCAGAAUUUGUGAGGAUUACUACUGCUCCACUUGUUCCAAGGCUUUUUGCACAACUUGACCAAUACACUGACCAGCUCAUAAAAGUCUUCAAGAAAAAAAGGAGGUGCUGCAGUGAAGAAAAUUAGACAAACUUUGGCUCCAGCCACAAAGAAGGAAACUAUUGAAAACGGGAGGGAGUGUGUCCUCAGGGCACUACCUUUUUACCUGAAUGAAGACCCAAGCAUCCUCUUCAA